CCAUUGACUAAUUGUAACUACAGGAUAGACCUGACAUUCAACCACUCGUGCCAGUUUUGUCGUGUCCAAUCUUACUAUUUUCACAUCCCUCGUCUUGAUGAACACAUUAUACCUAAUUUCUAUGUACGCCGUUGCAAAUUGUGGAGAGUGUAAGAGACACUCUGAUUUUGUCAAGGUCGAUGUUUUAGAACUUGAGACACGCAGUUCAAUAUAAUGACGGGUCUAUCUUGUAGUUAGUCAAUGCCUCUAUGGUUUAAAAUUUAGAAUUUAAAACGGUGAGUUGUAUCAAAGACGAUUUAUCAUCUGUGGCGCAUACCUAUAUCGUACAUCUCUAAGUAUGACAACAGAUGUCGCUCGUCCAAUGUUAUAUCUGUUAAUUUAUGAAGUACUUAUCGUUUUUUUUUAAAUAUGAAUUUAAGAAAUCGUAUUUUAUUUUAUAUAUUUACAUUUCCGAUGAAUAAUAUCCGAAACAUAUAUACACUUCGCAUGACAACUGUUGACUUGCCAAUCGUACCACCUUGGAGGGUCUCAAUGACUAGUGUUCUUAUGAGGUUUUGUACAAAAUCCCAUAUUUCAUUCGAUUUUCAAAUACCUAACAUCAAAACGAACGUAGAUACAUGUUAAGAGUAAGAUAACUGUGUGAUAUAUAAAAACAUUUACCCUAUUCAGUUCAGGAUCAGAUUUAGCUGACGCAAAAUAAGUGAAUAUCAAUGCGAAGAUAAUUCACUCUGCUGAGCGAUACCUUUGUAGUCUUCAUAUUUUCUUCUGGCACAAUUACAGCAUUUCAAACGUAUUUAUAUAAUCGAACGCAAACACUAAAAUUAA